CCUACGGGAGGCAGCAGUGGGGGAUAUUGCACAAUGGGGGAACCCUGAUGCAGCGACGCCGCGUGGGUGAAUAAGCGUUUUGGCGCGGAAAGCUCUGUCAGCUGGGAAGAAAAUGACGGUACUUGAAGAAGAAGCCACGGCUAACUACGUGCCAGCAGCCGCGGUAAUACGUAGGGGGCAAGCGUUAUCCGGAAUUAAGGGGUGGAAAGGGGGCGCAGGCGGGGAUGCAAGCCAGGAGGGAAAGCCCGGGGCCUAACCCCGGGACUGCCCUUGGAACUGUGUGGUUAGAGUGCAGGAGGGGCAGGUGGAAUUCCUGGUGUAGCGGUAAAAUGCGUAGAUAUCAAGAGGAAGACCGAUGGCGAAGGCGACCUGCUAGACUACAACUGACGUUGAGGCGCGAAAGCGUGGGGAGCAAACAGGAUUAGAUACCCGGGUAGUC
rnacentral:rRNA from 1 species